rnacentral:rRNA from 1 species
UCUUGAGGUGUGGCUCGCACCUGUCUAACUAAACUUGAGCUACCCCCUUUUAACACGGUUGCAUCGGUUGGCUGUCCAACAGCGCGGACCUCGCGUUCGCUGCUGGAAAGGCGGUCGACACUUUUUACACCAAAACACUUUUGAUGAUCUAGGAGUUGAAUGAAAAAAAAGUUUAAUUUUUUAACUAAAAAACAACUUUUGGCAACGGAUCUCUUGGUUCUCCCAUCGAUGAAGAACGCAGCGAAUUGCGAUAAGUAAUGUGAAUUGCAGAAGUGAAUCAUCGAAUCUUUGAACGCACCUUGCGCUCCCUGCAGAUCUAAUCUGGGGAGCAUGCCUGUUUGAGGGCCGCGAAUUGUUUCGAACGGCAGCUUUCUUCCUUUUUUUUGCGAGAGAGUUGGCGGAUCGGUAGUGAGGGGUUGCCAGUUACCAUGGCUCCCUCGAAAUGCAUUAGCGCAUCCAUUUGAGAGGCAAGGACGGACGAAAGCUCGCUUUUUCGCCCUCCUCUUCCUCCUGCCGGGUUUUGAUAAUAUCAGGACUUCGGAGG